rnacentral:rRNA from 1 species
GAGAGAGAGACAUGCGCGCAUAUCAAUAAGCGGAGGAAAAGAGACUAACAAGGAUUCCCUUAGUAACGGCGAGUGAAGCGGGAAGAGCUCAAAUUUGAAAUCUUCAAGGUUUUACCUUGACGAAUUGUAGUUUAAAGAAGUGUUUUCUGCUGAAGUUUUGGUAAAAGUUCUUUGGAAUAGGACAUCAUAGAGGGUGAGAAUCCCGUAUUUGACCAUUAUUUUCAGCUUUGUGAUACACUUUCAAAGAGUCGGAUUGUUUGGGAAUGCAGUCCAAAAUGGGUGGUAAAUUUCAUCUAAAGCUAAAUAUUGGCGAGAGACCGAUAGCGAACAAGUACCGUGAGGGAAAGAUGAAAAGAACUUUGAAAAGAGAGUUAAACAGUACGUGAAAUUGUCAAAAGGGAAGCGUUUGACACCAGUGUUGUUUUCUCGAAAAUCAAUUAAAAAUGGCUCGAUUUUGUAUUGCUUGAGACCUUAAAAGCUCACUGUACAUUUUUCGUGUCUUUUUUAAUGCACUUUUCGUUUAACAAGUCAACAUCAGUUUCUUUUGUUGUAAAAGGGUCAUUGGAAGGUGGCUUUCUUUUCGGAGAAAGUGUUUAUAGCCUUUGGCCUCUGCAAUCGAAGAGACUGAGGUCUGCAGCGUAGACUCUUCGGGGUUAGAUACAUUUGUGCUAAGUUAUAGCUUUUUAUAGACAACUUGUUGACUAUAAUUAGUCUUGUAGCUUACUCGCUUAUGCUAUUUUACCUACGCUUAGGAUGUUGAAGAUGUAGCACAUCAU